GACAGAGGUGCCGAGCGUUAGGCGGAAUCACUGGGCUUAAAGCGUGUGUAGGCGGAUUGGUAAGUACCUUGUGAAAUCCCAACGGCUUAACCGUGGAACUGCUUGGUAUACUGCUUAUCUUGGGCCACUUAGGGGCUACCGGAACAAACGGUGGAGCGGUGAAAUGCGUAGAUAUCGUUUGGAACGCCAAUGGUGAAAACAGGUAGCUGGGAGUGUGCCGACGCUGAGACACGAAAGCCAAGGGAGCGAAACGGG
rnacentral:rRNA from 1 species